rnacentral:rRNA from 1 species
UGACCUCGGAUCAGGUAGGAAUACCCGUAGAAUUUAA